GUUCCUACGGGAGGCAGCAGUGGGGAAUAUUGGGCAAUGGGCGCAAGCCUGACCCAGCAACGCCGCGUGAAGGAAGAAGGCUUUCGGGUUGUAAACUUCUUUUCUCAGGGACGAAGCAAGUGACGGUACCUGAGGAAUAAGCCACGGCUAACUACGUGCCAGCAGCCGCGGUAAUACGUAGGUGGCAAUCGUUAUCCGGAUUUACUGGGUGUAACGGGCGUGUAGGCGGGAAAGCAAGUCAGUUGUGAAAACCAUGGGCUCAACCUGUGGCCUGACUUUGAACCUGUUUUUCUUGAGU
rnacentral:rRNA from 1 species